rnacentral:rRNA from 1 species
AGGGCACUCUAAGGAGACUGCCGGUGACAAACCGGAGGAAGGUGGGGAUGACGUCAAGUCAUCAUGCCCCUUAUGGGUAGGGCUACACACGUCAUACAAUGGUCGGUACAAAGGGCAGCGAACCCGCGAGGGGAAGCCAAUCCCAGAAAGCCAUUCUCAGUUCGGAUUGCAGUCUGCAACUCGCCUGCAUGAAGCCGGAAUCGCUAGUAAUCGCGGAUCAGCAUGCCGCGGUGAAUACGUUCCCGGGUCUUGUACACACCGCCCGUCACACC